GUUAGGUCAGUGCAGCCUUUGGCCUCCCUUGCGCACGCUGGAAGUUACCGCCUUUUAGCUGCUUGGUGGUCCAGGGUUAUUGUCUCCCGUAAUUUCCCACUUUAAGUUAGAUUAAGAAAAUGAUGUUUUCAUUCUCCUUUCUUGCCUCCUCGCGAUAGCCGUAUGUUCACCCCUCUGCUUGCGGUUUGAAUAACCUGACAUUAUGGGUCAGGGCUAUUGAGGCUGAUUUGACUUCCCAUCAUUCCUAGAAGUCGGCGAGGGGACCGAUCCUUCUUAACCUUGUGGCCAGGUUGAAGAUAGAGGCUCCGCAGGUUUAUUCCCUGGCUUUUUAAAGCUACUUGUGCGGUGCAGAAGGUCAAUGAGAAGUAUGGUCUCUUUCCCAUCCAAUUAAAGUCGCCCGUGAGGCCUAGGAUCCAGUAUCAUCCAUGAAGGCCUCGAGGGUCCCCCAGUGCGCCUUCCAACCUGAAGCUGCGCGGGCUCGCCCAUAGCCAGAAGUAUAAUCAGCUCCUUGAGGGUAGAGGAUGUUUCUGACACGUCUCAGCAUCUCCAGGUGCCGGAAGAAUAGGGUUCACCAUAAAGAUAAGACUAUGCUGUGGAAUCAUAGGAUCGUCUGGUCCAGCAUUUAAUAGUACGUCUUGAUUCUUUCUAGAAUAUCUACAAUAUAGUUUGAACACUCAGGACACGGGGCCCCCUCCGUUUAAUAUCUGAUAACAGACUUCCUAUGAAGCAGGAGCGAUGGUCUCCUGAGAACCAAGGCUUCCAUAUCAAGAUGUGGAAAGAUAGUGCUUGGCUGCCAAUAACAAAUAGGCAGUUACAAAUGCUAACCAAAUGCUGCUGGCUGCCGAAAAUCUUCCUGGAGCUCCUUACCUUCAGAUUCUAAUUUUUCUGCAUUCAGCGGGCUGGUUGGUGACCCUGUU